UUUGAUUCUUUUUUGAUUUUUCUUUUUAUCCUUCUUCUUUAAGGAGGAGGAGGAGGAGACAAUUUUUUUUCUUUUUCUUCCUCAUCUUCUUCUUCUUCUUCAUCAUCAUCUUCUUCUUCUUCUCUUUCUUCUUCUUGUUUCUUCUUUUUCUUCUUCUUCUCCUUCAUCAUCAUUAUCUUUUUCUUCUUUUUUUUUUUCCUUUUUUUGAGGAGGAGGAGAAGGAGGGACUAUUUCGUUGAUGGAAAGAAACGACAAUGACGUUUUAAUAGAUAUAAGAAAAU
rnacentral:lncRNA from 1 species